UACAGAGGUCCCAAGCGUUGUCCGGAAUUAUUGGGCGUAAAGAGCUCGUAGGCGGUCUGUCGCGUCUGCUGUGAAAACUCAGGGCUUAACCCUGAGCUUGCAGUGGGUACGGGCAGACUAGAGUGCGGUAGGGGAGACUGGAAUUCCUGGUGUAGCGGUGAAAUGCGCAGAUAUCAGGAGGAACACCGGUGGCGAAGGCGGGUCUCUGGGCCGUAACUGACGCUGAGGAGCGAAAGCAUGGGGAGCGAACAGG
rnacentral:rRNA from 1 species